rnacentral:lncRNA from 1 species
AUGCAGUUUGUGAAAGAAGAGAGAGAAGAGAACAAGAGUGAACCAGACACCAGCACAAUAAAACACGAGGAACCAGAAACCCGGAGAAUAAAACUCGAGGAACCAGAAAUAAAACACGAGGAACCAGAAACAUGGAGAAUAAAACACGAGGAACCAGAAACCCGGAGAAUAAAACUCGAGGAACCACAAACCUGGAGAAUAAAACAUGAGGAACCAGAAACCCGGAGAAUAAAAGACGAGGAACCAGAAAUAAAACACGAGGAACCAGAAACAUGGAGAAUAAAACACGAGGAACCAGAAACCUGGAGAAUAAAACACGAGGAACCAGAAAUAAAACACGAGGAACCAGAAACAUGGAGAAUAAAACACGAGGAACCAGAAACCUGGAGAAUGAAAGACGAGGAACCAGAAAUAAAACACGAGGAACCAGAAACAUGGAGAAUAAAACACGAGGAACCAGAAACAUGGAGAAUAAAACACGAGGAACCAAAAACCUGCAGAAUAAAUCACGAGGAACAAGGAGACACGCAGGAUGACUGCUAGGUUGAUCACUUUCAACAAUGAUGUCCUGGAGGACCAGCAUCUCUGCAGAGUUUAUCUCCAGUCUGUCCGCACCUUUCCGAAGUGUGUGAUGACCCUGAAGACCUCCAUCAGCUGCUUCAGCAGUACAGGACUGAGACAGGACCUUAACUCUGCAAUCAGGACUAGAUGGCAAACAAUACACAAAAGAGAGAAGACAAACAUUAUGUUAAUGGAUUAAAACUAAAGUUAAACAAAAAAUAAAAUAAAAUAUGGUAUAUGGUUUAAUAUCUGAAAAUGGAUAAGGGAGAAAAAAGAAAUUAUCACUUAAAUAUUACAUAGGUUUGUAUGAAUGAAUGUACAUAUAAAUCUAUCAGUUAUGAACAGCCAUACAUUAAUGAUAACGAGAUUUGAUAAGCGUGUGUAGCUGAGGUACUGUAUUAUGCUAUAUUAAUCUUCGUUUAUGUUGCUAUUUAGGAGUUUAUAAGAGACAUUAUACGGACUUAACCUUACUCCAUUAGACUAAUGUUACGUUAUGUACGUUAGGCCUAACGUUACUGCUCGCUGUAAAACAACAAGACAGAAAAGGAAACCCAAUUAACACCACAAUGGACGUAAAUAAAUGUUAAUUUAAUGAAUUCAUGUGCAAUUUGAAAGGAUAUAUUAC